rnacentral:rRNA from 1 species
CCUACGGGAGGCAGCAGUGAGGAAUAUUGGUCAAUGGACGAGAGUCUGAACCAGCCAAGUAGCGUGAAGGAUGAAGGCCCAAUGGGUUGUAAACUUCUUUUAUAAGGGAAUAAAAUGGUCCAAGUGUGGGAGGUUGUAGGGACCAUAUGAAAAAGGAUCGGCUAACUCCGUGCCAGCAGCCGCGGUAAGACGGAGGGUCCGAGCGUUAUCCGGAUUUAUUGGGUUUAAAGGGAGCGUAGGGGGAUUGUUAAGUCAGUUGUGAAAGUGUGCGGCGCAACCGUAAAAUUGCCGUUGACACUGGCAGUCUUGAGUUCAGUAGACGUGUGCGGACUUCGUGGUGUAGCGGUGAAAUGCUUAGAUAUCACGCAGAACUCCGAUUGCGAAGGCAGCUCACUGGCCUCCCACUGACACUGAGGCUCGAAAGUGUGGGUAUCAAACAGGAUUAGAUACCCGGGUAGUC